GGUUGCUCUUAGGCAACAGAAUUGGUAUGGUGUGUCAUGGUCGUCUUUUUGUGGUGGAUCUUUAAUUACACUGAGACAUGUACUAACUGCGGCGCAUUGCUUUAUAUUUUCAGAUAAAGGAACUAUGAAAAAUCUCAAUACCGUCAGAGUGGUUGCUGGGACAAUAGAUAAGUCUGCAUUGAUAAUUCUAUUCAAACCUGCGCAUGAGCACUGGAGGCGAAUACAACAUUUUUAUAAACAUGAACACUAUAAUCACACGUAUUUAAAACAUGAUAUUGCUAUAUUGCAGGUAUCGAAAGACUUCAUCGUAACAGAAACAGUUCACCCAAUUCGUUUAUAUUCAGCAAAUGAAGACAAAUUACAAGCAAAUGAUUUAUGUCUGGUUUCG